rnacentral:snRNA from 1 species
GGAUGUGGGGGCGAUCUGGCUGCGACAUCUGUCACCCUGUUAAUUGCCAGGGUUGAUUCGGCUGAUCUGGCUGGCUAGGUGGGUGUCCCCUGCCUCCCUCACUGCUCCAUGUGCGUCCCUCCAGAAGCUGCGUGCUCAGUGGAAGAGGACAGCCUUCCCUGAAUAGAGACAGAGGGUGUAUGAGUAGCUGUGUUCCCCUGCUAGAACCUCCAAACAAGCUCUCAAGGAAUCUAUCCCUUUACCAUGAAGGCUAUUCUUUAGAGUUCACAGAUGCCUGCUUGCUGAUCUUGGGUGAUGGAAAUUCAGUCUGAUUGAAACA